GUUACAGCGUAGGGGUUGGGUCUGUAUGAGAUGCUCUUCAGAGGGUCAUUGUGGACUCAAUGGGCCAAAUGGGCUUUUAUAAUUCCAUGAUUCUACCAGGUUCAUAUCCAUUGGUCAUCUCCAAUUCCUUCCUCAGAGGCCUAAUUUCACCAAUGGAAAAGAUCUUGUGUGAAGAUAAUGUUGUAACAUCUUCUCUGAUAAAUGCUUAUAAAGCAGAAAGGAUCUAUGCCUUGAAGACAAGUUGGAAAAAGCUUUGAAUACUUUUCCAGUGGAGGCUGAAAAUUACUCCCGAUAUUGGCAGCCCAGCACUUAACUGCAUCUGUGCGAUGAAUCCUUGUCUGUUGUUUAAGCAGAUACUGUGUUUCAAUUAUUUUAGACUGAUUAACUGUUAAAAGAUACAAUAAAGAACUGUCAUAUAUUUAUAUCAAAUUUGUCUGUUAAUAUUACUUCAGUGCCUUCAAGCAUUUUAGUCAAAUGUGGAAUGUAUAAAUCAAGUCAUGGGGAUUACAAUGAUAAGUUGUAAUAACUAUAUGCUCGCAACAAUCAAAUAUAUUUUUCUUCCUAGCAUUCACUUUGCUUUAAUACAGUGGAAAAAUGUUCAAACUGCAACUGCAAUGCUGUACAAUAAAUUCUUCAUUUUAAAUAUAAGGUAUAAUGAGACCUUUAUAAUAAGGACCCUUGAAAUUGCCUUCAGGUGGUCUCUGUAGAUUCAAAAAUGCCUAAA